rnacentral:lncRNA from 1 species
AAAGGGAACAAGAAGCAAGGCGCCUGUGACACAAAAUGGAGAAAGAGGAACCGGGAGUGGAAAGGAAGAAGGAAAACCGAGUAAAGGAGGUUAUUCAUAAGAACAGGAAAGGGGCCGAGGGGUAGAGAACACCCGAAGGAAAGCGCAGGAGGCCCUCGUGAGAGGGCAAGGGGGAAAAGAUCGACGAAGUAAGAGCGAAAAGAGGAAAGGAAAGAAAGACUUUCUAGAUGCGGAGUCUCCAUUUUCAGCAGCGCCAUAUUCGCUUUUCCUCUCGCCGCUUUUGGCUGGGUUUUGUGUGCGGCGGUGGACAGGCGCCAGCACAUUUCUGCAGCUUCAGCAGCUCUGCUCAGACACCUGGGGAGGGCCGCAGGGCCCGGGCGGGGGACGCGCGCUCUUGGCCCAGGCCCGGGCGCGGCCCCCUCCCCGGCCUGGCGGUUCCUGCGCAGCGCCAGCCCCGCGCUCCUCUAGGCUGCAAAGGGGGCCUCCGACUCGGGCCCGGCCCGGAGGGGACACCUCACUCGGGGCCCCGCGGCAGCCCCCAGGGGACGCGGGCCCUCUAGUUUCGCCCACGGUGUGGCUGGGCAUGCGUGCCAAGGGGAUGCGUAACCGAGAACCGAAAAAGACGAACUUAACCUUCGGGGAGGAGGAGAGGGCGCACGCUGCGGGUACCGGGGCUUGGGGGCGCUCCUGGAGGUGACGGGGUCACCUCCACCUGCGCGGGGCCACUCUCUGGGAGCCGGCGAUCGAUGCCCGCCGCGGCGCCUGGCCCAGGCCCCCAGGCCUCUCGCGGCUCCCGGAAAAACGUCCGAGGUCGGGGCUCGGCCGGGAGCCCCAAGCGGGUCCCCUGGCCUCGGGACGCCAGUCCGGGAGGCGGCCGGAACUCCGGUUUUCGCGGUUCUCAGCGAUAUUAGGCGCGGCCAGUGUCUGAAAGCUCCUCGGGGUUACGUCCUGGGGCGACUGGAGGCGGCUCACGACUCAGAAAGUCGGGGCUUCUCGCCCCGGAUCCCCACCGCUGGCGUCUGUCGAAUCCCCACCUCGGUCCUCGGGUAGAGGCGCAAGCGCGCCCCAAGACCAUUCUCUUCGCGCCCACCCCCGUUAUUCUUCACUUUCACUUGACAUCGUUCUUCACUCAAGGUUAGGUCCUCGCUAGUGCCAGAGAAGCCCCUGGGUCCCCAGUGCCCUCAGCCCCGCAGCGUAGGGAGCAGCCGGCCCGGGAGAUAAGGAGGCCACAGCCAUGGAGGCCCCAGGCCCGGAGUCCCCGCGCCGUCGGGUUUUGAGCCGCGCGGCUGGCCAGGACCGCCGGCUCCUUCUCUGUCCCGGUCCUCCGCUCGCAGCCCCGCAGAGGUGACGGUACCUGGAGGCUGGAAGCGACGGUUUCCUCGGGCCGGUGGAGGGAAACAUGUCAGGGUCACAGCGAAGGAAACCGAGACCCACAGGGGUCCCCGGGCGUCCGGGACGCGUCGCUGGUUUUGCUCCUAGAAGGAAAGGCCUUCCCGCUUUUGUUCCACCGGCUCACCAGGUCCUCCCUUCCUGGCCAACUCUAACCUCAGCUUUGUGCGUGUCACCCGGCCCCGGGAUAAUCGGAUCCUCCCAGACCCGGGAAUCCAUCAGAAGCGCUACCCGUACUUGGCGCCCUGAAAGUUCCCCAAGCGCAGCGGCCGCGCCCUCGAGUGCAUCCACUCCGCGAGCCACGGGCGGCGCCUGCCCACCCGCGGCUCGGCUUUGCGUGUUGUAAGCCGACUAUUCUAUCACCAUUGCAGGAUAAGCUGGCCUUUAAAUUUUCAAAGAACAUUUAGGUUAUUUUCAACAGUUCAUGCUUUUCAUAUCUGUCUUUUCAGACUGCAGAUUUCCACAAGGAAAAAUGUAUCUUUCCUAGACGGCAAAAAGCAGAUUUAUUUUCCUUUUUAAAAAGUUGCCUUAAAACGCCUAUCUCAUAGUACUUGGGGAUUAAACUGUUUCCCCUAAGAGAAAGUUCAACGGCUAAGCUCAAACGUUAGUCUUGACACCUUUAGUUAAGAUGAUCCUUUCCCAGUGUUGUUAGUGAAAUGUUAAAAUCAAAAUUUCAAAAUGAAGUAGAUGUUUUAUGUCUUUAGAACAUUCCAGAAAUUUAAGAACUAAAAAUAUUGACAAGGUGCAAGGCCUAGUUCACAAAUAACAUUCCAGCUUCUGUUUCUGUGAGAGUUCUUUUUUAAGGCUAUGAAAGAUUUUUGAAGUUAAAGUAUUCAUAGCUGGAACAGACAUUUAUCAUUUGACAACAUAUGAAAUUUUAAAUUGUGCAUUGUAAGUCUCAUGUUUAUGUUAUGUUUCUUGGAUAUAUUCCAUGGCAUUUUGUGCUUCUCUCUUUUAUGGGAAAGCUUACAAUUAACUUACCAGGUUUUUCUUUUAAUUUAAUCAGGAUUAGAUUAAAAAAAAAACCCUAAAGCUACUUAGUAAAAGAUAUUUUAUGGCAGCCAAAUACAAAAAUGAAUAAAGCUUAAAGUAAGUUAUUUUCUCAUCUCUCAAGGAUGGUUUCCUUCUG